GAUGAACGCUAGCGGCAGGCCUAAUACAUGCAAGUCGGACGGGAUCCAUUGAUAGCUUGCUAUCAAUGGUGAGAGUGGCGCACGGGUGCGUAACGCGUGAGCAACCUGCCUCCAUCAGGGGGAUAGCCUCUCGAAAGAGAGAUUAACACCGCAUAAUAUCAACAGUUCGCAUGUUCAGUUGAUUAAAUAUUUAUAGGAUGGAGAUGGGCUCGCGUGACAUUAGCUAGUUGGUAGGGUAACGGCUUACCAAGGCGACGAUGUCUAGGGGCUCUGAGAGGAGGAUCCCCCACACUGGUACUGAGACACGGACCAGACUCCUACGGGAGGCAGCAGUAAGGAAUAUUGGUCAAUGGGCGGAAGCCUGAACCAGCCAUGCCGCGUGCAGGAUGACUGCCCUAUGGGUUGUAAACUGCUUUUGUCCAGGAAUAAACCUAAAUACGAGUAUUUAGCUGAAUGUACUGGAAGAAUAAGGAUCGGCUAACUCCGUG
rnacentral:rRNA from 1 species